GAUAAACGCUGGCGGCGCACAUAAGACAUGCAAGUCGAACGGACUUAACCAUUAGUUUACUAUUGGAGCGGUUAGUGGCGGACUGGUGAGUAACACGUAAGCAACCUGCCUAUCAGAGGGGAACAACAGUUAGAAAUCACUGCUAAUACCGCAUAAGCUGUGAGUAUCACAUGAUACAAAUAGAAAAGGAGCAAUCCGCUGAUAGAUGAGCUUGCGUCUGAUUAGUUAGUUGGUGAGGUAACGGCCCACCAAGGCGAUGAUCAGUAGCCGGACUGAGAGGUUGAACGGCCACAUUGGGACUGAGAUACGGCCCAG
rnacentral:rRNA from 1 species